rnacentral:rRNA from 1 species
AUUGAACGCUGGCGGCAGGCCUAACACAUGCAAGUCGAACGAGUGGAGGACGGGUGUGUAAUGUAUGGGAAACUGCAUGAUGGAGGGGGAUAACUACUGGAAACGGUAGCUAAUACCGCAAACCAUCGGAUGUGGCAGGAUGGGAUGAGCUAGUAGGUGGGGUAAAGGUUCACCUAGGCGACGAUCCCUAGCCGGUCGGAGAGGAUGACCGGCCACAGUGGAACUGAGACACGGCCCAGACUCCUACGGGGGGCAGCAGUGGGGAAUAUUGGACAAUGGGCGCAAGCCGGAUGCAGCAAUGCCGCGUGUAUGAAGAAGGCGUUCGGGUUGUAAAGUCCUUUGAGCGGGGAGGCGUUACCCGAAGAGAAAGCACCGGCUAACUCCGUGCCAGCAGCCGCGGUAAUAC